AACGCGAAGAACCUUACCAAAUCUUGACAUCCUUCUGACCGACUCGUAAUGGAGUCUUUCCUACGGGACAGAAGAGACAGGUGGUGCAUGGUUGUCGUCAGCUCGUGUCGUGAGAUGUUGGGUUAAGUCCCGCAACGAGCGCAACCCUUAUCCUUAGUAGCCAGCAGUUCGGCUGGGCACUCUGGGGAGACUGCCAGGGAUAACCUGGAGGAAGGUGGGAAUGACGUCAAAUCAUCAUGCCCCUUAUGAUUUGGGCUACACACGUGCUACAAUGGCGUAAACAGAGGGAAGCGAAGCCGUGAGGUGGAGCAAAUCCCAAAAAUAACGUCUCAGUUCGGAUUGUAGUCUGCAACUCGACUACAUGAAGCUGGAAUCGCUAGUAAUCGCGAAUCAGAAUGUCGCGGUGAAUACGUUCCCGGGUCUUGUACACACCG
rnacentral:rRNA from 1 species